GGCCAGGGCGGGUGCGCGGCGGCGGCGGGGUGGCUGGGCCGGCGGCGGCGGCGGUACGAGGCGCGCGCUCGGGGUCCCGGUCGCGAGGAGGAGGAGGAUGUGGCGCGCGGAGGGGAAAUGGCUGCCGAAAACAAGCCGGAAGAGCGUUUCCCAAAGUGUAUUCUGCGGAACUAGCACCUACUGUGUUCUCAACACCGUGCCACCUAUAGAAGAUGAUCAUGGGAACAGCAAUAGUAGUCAUGUAAAAAUCUUUUUACCGAAAAAGCUGCUUGAAUGUCUGCCGAAAUGUUCAAGUUUACCCAAAGAGAGGCACCGCUGGAACACUAAUGAGAGAUCAUGAUGCAGCCGCCCUUUUGGAUUUCUUUUUAAUAAUGUGUGACCCUUCACCUUUGAUCCCCUGACCUGCAUUACCUUGGGUUGUUGGGAGGAUAAAUGAAACACUGAGAACUCAGAAGAAAGGUGCUUUUGAAACCACCUCAUCCUAUGGCUGUGCCAAGAGGCAGUGGUAGUGAACCCCGUGGUGAAGGGCCAGGACCAUGGCUGUGGAGCCAGGCUGCUGAGGUUCGAAUCCCACCUUGGCCUCUUGCAAGUGUUCUGACUGCAGCACAUUACAUAGCCGCCCUAUUCCUGAGUUUUUGCCUCUUUAAUGGGGUGACAGUGAUAGCACGCACUCACAGGAUCAUGGUGAGUUCUAGCAGCCGGAGUGUGUGAGGUCUGUAGGGCAGUGCUAAGGGCAGAUGUUCAUGCUGUGGGCCCCAGCCCUCACCCCACCCCUCAUCAGUCCCAACAGAAGACCCACAGACAUGGUGAGUAAGGACAGAGGCAAGCUCAGGGCAGAGCUACUCCACUUCCUCAUCUCUCAGAGUCCCGCUACCAGGAGCGGCCUCACCUACUACUGUUACUUUUUUUAAAGGUUCUUUUAUUUACCUAUUUUGGACUUUGAAGAUUAAAGACGAGUAAAGAGGCAAUCACUGUUUGCCUGGUUAGCUGCACUUGCCCUUCACUCUCCCUUGGUAAGCCCUGCAGCCAGCAUAUUGGGAGUCAGGGUGUUGAGCAGCCCAGUGUUUUUCUCAACUGCAUAUGUCUUCAGUGUCCUCUUAAGUCAAGGGAUGUGACCUGCCUGCCACCAUGUGUAAGAAUCUGUAUCACAUGUUCUUCCCAGUACUGUCUACACAUUUUAAUCGUCAGAUUUACCCAGGAGGUAGGCGGCCUGCAGGACUGUGCUGGUGCUCAGGUAGGUCUCCACACUCCCAGGCUUAUGGCCCUGGUGCUCCAGAGCUGCCACUCGGGAGCAGCUGUCACUGACACUUGCUGCCUUGCACAGGACAGCUUUGCUAUUUUGGCUGCAGGGCCUCAGCUGGGUUCAUCUCUCCCCUCAGUCAUCAGACAGUAACAGAACUGCCCUAAGCUUAGUAAGGCUUCACUGGAAACAGUGGCUUCUUUAAUCCUGGCUGUGUGCUGAAGAGUCCCUUGCAUAAUUGGUUAAAACUUGGAUAAAUGGUCUACCCUUGUUCUGAUCCUUUCCUAGCUGGGAACUACUGAUCAGAAAUCCUGGACGUUUACUUUAUAAAGAAAGAGAAAAGCAGGUAAAUGAUGUGCACACAUGGAAAUGUGUCUGUCUGGAAUAUCUGGGCCAGUGCUGUUCCUUCCAGAGCAGAUUACACUGAAAACUAAAAUGGCUCUCUCUGCUGGUUUAGAUGUUCAACCAACACUAGCCAGUGCCUGGAGCCUCUGCCAUUGCUCUGCGAAAUAGCCCUGAGUGAGAAGCCAUCAGAGAAGCCAGCAUUGUGCUUACGUUCUGAGGUUCCUGAGUAGAGGUCUCUGGUUCCAUUUCGGUUGCUAUGAUAUAAAACCAAAAAACUUACAGAAAUCAUCUUAGGGGGAAAAGUGUUUAUUUUAGCUUAAAACUUGCAGCUGUAGUCCAGCACUGUGGGGAAGUCCUAGCAGAGCUUGAGCCAGCUGGUCACAUCAGGUCACAUCAGGUCCUCACUAGAGCUUCGAGCAGCACACCCUGAACCUAGUGCUAAGCCGGCGCUGGUACUUAAGAGUCAGGGACUGAGCUACCCGCUUGCAGGCUGGGUCUUUCAUAUUAAUUAAGGUAUCAAGACAGUCCCUGACCAGUGUACUCACAAGACAACCCGGUCUAGAGAGUUCCUCGUCAAGACCAUCCUCCUAAGUGCUAGGCUGUAUUAAACAACUAGAACUAAGCACCAAGGGCCAUUCUUGUUUCCUCGUUCUGCCACCUUUCUUUUCUCUCAUGUCUUCAACAUUUAAUUUUCCUUUCUCCUUUCUUCCUCCAUAGCUCUGCACUGUCUCCCCCGACCCCCCAGUAAAUCCCUGAUGUUUACAGUGUAUCUAUCAUCACAGUGUAAUAUAUUUACAAAUCCUCCAAGGGGGUCCCAGCACAUAGUAGAUGUUCCAGUGGGCUUUUAAAAGUAUGUUUUGGUAUUUUUUUUAAAGGAGUAGGUACCACCCUUCAUUAGUCUGAGUAUCCUUAGGCUGUGUUUACGGUCAUCUAUCCUGAUUUCGUUCAUCUUGAGGACUUUGGUAAUUUGCCACAUGGCUUUAUUCAGUAGGCUGAGAAACACCAUGCUUUAAGUCACCAACCAGUGUCACUUAGGCACUAGGAUAAGCUGGUGUUGUUUUGGCGGCUUCUUACCUUGGGCUUCUGUAUAGCUGCUGUGUAAGCUUUUAAACUGCAAGGAAGCUGAUCACCCCUUGAUGCUGGUGAUGAGGAGUCUGCUGUGGAGAGGGAAAGGCCUUCACACCCACUGCCUCUUCUGCUGCCCCACCAGUCCUGUUAGGGUGGAGCAGCAAACAUGGCAGCACCGAAGCUAGCCAUUAACUGCCUGCCUCCAGCAGAGUUGGUAGAGUCGUCAGAGUAAUUAAUCUUCUGCUUUCCCUCCACAAGAGCGAGUGACUUAAGGUUAGGGUGGUUCUGAGGGAAGCAGAGGCCUCGGGCUGGAGUGUGGUGGCUCUGUGCGAGUCUCUAGAGCUGAGUAUUUGGCCUAGGUGCCACCUGGUGACCUUGGCGGCCCUCCUGAUGACCUUUGCCCUUGUGGCUGUGGGAAGUGCUCUGUGUCAUUCCCCAUGAAAUUCUGCCUAAGCUGAAGGGUGUUGAUAAAGAAGAUGGCGUCAGACUUAGGGGGAUGUCAUGGAAACAGCAGCAUCUUGUAGUUCUCAUCCCCAGUUACUGACUCCACCAGAAGAUGAUGGCCAUAGUCCUGUGGGAGUGGCUGACCCCUUACUUCCAGUCCUCUUCUGUCUCCUGUGCAGAUUCUGUUUCUUAUUCCUUCAUCUUUCUAGAGAUGGUGCCAAGAGGACAGGUCGAGGAACAGGUGAAAUUCCUGGCCCAAGUCUUGUCUCUGGGUCUCGCCUGCUGGGCUCCGGCUCCCCUUAGGCCUCUGGCACACGUUCCUGCACAUAGUAGACACUCAGCGAAUACAAGCUCUUCAUUUCUCAUUAGUGCAGGUAAUUAAGAGCAGGAGCUGAUAGACUACACAUAUCUGUGCAGAGAUAUAUCUGUAAUUAAAGUUUUAAUUAAAGAAAUACCAGGCCAGGCAGAUGGUUCUUAUCCCCACAUCCUGUAAACCUAAGAGCUGUGUCGUCUCGAUCCUGCAGACAAAGGCAAGAGCAGCAGCCUCCAUGGUGGUACCAGAGGGGAGAGGGAGUCUCACUAGCUGGCCGUAAUCUAAUUUUGGUAGCACUCUAUGUGAUGACACUUCUGGGGGUAAUCAUUGCAGUCUGAUAUGGAAAGACAAUACAUCACAGGGACGUCCUGACCAGAGCUUUUAAGCCUCCAGUCAAGGGCAUUACCGCAGCCAGCUGGUGGAUCACAAGGCAUGUGGUCUGUGCCGGGUUACAAAAGCUGACAGAGGGUUAUUUAGGAUCAUCAGCUAAAUACAGUGCUAAAGUAGAGCAGCGGCGUCCUGGUGCUUUAGGUGCUGCCGCGGUAGAGCAGUGCAGAGUUGAGAUGUGACUUACGCUGCCUGCCACACAGCAGGCCUCUGCUAUGUCACUGUGACCUUAAUGGUUAAUCAAGUAUAGAAUUUAACACACACAACAACCACAACGGCUAACAGAAAAGAUCUGUCUAGAUCUUACUACUAUUCAAGACCUCCCAGUGACCUCCAUCUGCUCCCAUGACCAUCACAAGAAGCCAGAGCCGUACAGGGAAGUCCUGUGUAGGGUGCACGGCAUCUUACUGUGACCUCUUGGGCCUCUGCUGCUAGGUUUCAUGUACUCAGUCUGGCACGGGGCUGAAGGCAUCAUUGCAGGUGUGGCAGUUCUGUACAGCACUGCUCCACUCAUGCCUCAUUUGCUGCUGUGCAGCACCAGUCCUGAAGACUUGUACUUCACAGGCUUAGCUCAGAGCUUAGAAGCCUUGUCCUACCUUUGCUGAGCACUGGGUCACUCCCCCUCUGCCAUCCCUUCUGUAUGGCUUCCCCCAGAAAGAGCCAUAUGUAGUGUAUUAUUUAUCUCAGGAUGGUAAAACUUGAUUUGACUUAACUUGUCAAUACCAUCUAUAAACAACUGUCAGUUAGCCUGGGAGAAAUACAAUGUGUGUAGAUGUAAGACAGGCUGGACCCACAGGACCUGGGGUAUCCUUUGAACACAGUGUUUUUGUCUCGGAGCUGGUGGGAAAUUCAUCUGCCUCUGCUUGGGAGACUUCAGUAUUUGGUGAGUUGUUCUGUGGUGUUUGUUCAGAUCAUGGUAGUAUCCAGAAAUGUCACAUGACCUUUGUAGGGCAGUGCUGGUGAUUUCAGUCAGCUUUGUACAUUUGUGAAUUUGAACCUGGCAGACUGAACAAAAAAUUUUUUUUUAAGAUUUAUUUUAUAUAUAUGAAUACACUGCAGCUGUCUUCAGACACACCAGAAGAGGGCAUCAGGUCCCAUCACAGAUGGUUUUGAGCCACCAUGUGGUUGCUGGGAAUUGAACUCAAGACCUCUAGAAGAGUGGUCAGUGCUCUUAACCACUGAGCCAUCUUACCACUCUCAAUUUUUUUUUUUAAACUUUGGAGCACAUAGUUUACGAUUAUAGAGGCCUCAAGUUUGUAAAGUUAACUUUUGCUACUUGGAAAGUAGUGCAUGUGUCUUGCUUCAAGGUAGCAAAGACACUCAUUUCUUCAGUGAGGGACAGCAUCUACAAAACUACCCACAAUUGUGUUCUUUUUGCUUUUUGCUUUUUUUUUUAAGGUAAUGGAUAAAAUCUCGCUCCUUGAUUCAAGCUGAUGUUCUAUUUGUACCCAUGUCCUGCCUUAGCCUCCUGAGUGCUAGAGUUACAGGCAUGAGCCAGGUCCCAAGCUCAAGAGUAGCCUUUUCUUUCUGCCACAGAUUGGGAGAACGCUUUUGCACCCUCCUGACCCUUCUGCCCAACUGCAGGGCAGGGCAGGGUCGAUGUACAGUAUACAGCCAACAAGCUCAAAUGGCGUUCCCAUUUUUAAAUAGGGUGAAGAACAUGAGUGAUACUCUUCCACAUUACAAUUCCGGUUUACUUGUAGUCCUGUUGGGAGAGAGCCCCGCUACCUCAUGCAUCUAUCUCAGCCACCCAGUGACCAGCAGGACAGCUCUCACUAAGGAAGGGCUGUCGGGCACUGUGUUUGAGCUGUGUAGCCCAGCCCAGCAGACCAUGUAGCUGCCUCAGGUACUUUUUAGAAAGCUUGCCUACUCAUUGACUUAAAGAGACUGGAAGCAGGCAGCCCAGUAAGGGAAGAGCUGAAAGUGGCUUAGGCAUAGUCAGGAGUAACUGGGUAUUAGGAGCUCCUCUGUGAGAGCUGAAAAAUGGCAUCCUCUUGGAGCUGUGAUGUGUGUGUUGAAUUGGACUCAGAGAAACUGUAAGCAUGCAGUUCUUUCAACUGGGAAGACUGUGGGAAUAGGGUGAAGAAGAGGGACAGGGAGGGUGCCUGAGGUGUGAUUUGGACAAAUGAGCUUUAAAGUUGUCUGCUGUAGGUGUUAGAGGCAUGUUCGGCUCAGGGGAGAGGCCUCACUCGGCCAGAGCCAGACAGUGGAGUAGCAUUAGCAUUACUCGAGUGCCUGGAAGUGAUAAGGCUGUAGAGUGGGGAGUCCUACAGGGAGGAACCAUGGAUGGACAGGUCUGAGCAUGGACUCCUGAGCCAGCGGUGUCAAGGAGGAGGGAGAGCGAAGAAACAAGCAGAGAAGGUAUACAAGAAGGCCUUAGAAACAGUAUGGUCAUCUGUCAGGUUCUGCUCAGGUCUAAAAUGGAUGGCGGCAGUGCAGGUUAUGGCUGGUUCAGAGCUGUCGGGAAAACCCAGUACCAGCAGCUUCAGAUGGAAGUAAGGGUAGAAAGCUGAGCAUUAGUUUUGGGUUCUGUUUUCAGGAGCUAAGUGCAGGCCCGGCCAGGACUGGAGUAUACGUGAAUUAACCUGAGAUGAGGCUGCUGUGAGUUGUGUUCAGUGGGGGAGCUGAGUGUUCCACACAUGCUGAGGACUGAAGAGGAAGGAGCAGGCAGAGGCAGGAAGCGCUGGAGUUCCUUGGCACUCAGAGUGGUACUUGAAGCUGGACCUAUGGAGGGGUAACUGUGCUCAUACAUAGACCUCAGGCAGACUGUCUACCAGCAGUGUCAAGGGAGCUGCUGUAAAGAAGUCAGGAUGAAAUGAGCUUUAGUAGACUGCACUACCUUCCACCCUGUAUGUGUGAUGUCUCUGAAUGGGUGUUUUAGGGGCCCUGCUUUAAGCUUCUGCUGUGGGGUGAGUCUGUACAUCCAUGUGAUCUGAGGGCUAGUCUUCCCCACUGAAAUUCUGGGCUCAGAAUUUCUCGUAGUAACACCAGAAACAGAGGCCAUCAUUUCUGAAGGCUCUUCCUUACAUGGUGGCUUUCUGGUGCCCUCUGUCUGCUUUUAUUCUGGCAAGGCCUUCCUGGAGCAGCUAAUAAAGGUGUUGCCCUUGUGAGUGUUUCCCACAGUUCUCCCAAGGGGAGAGGAGCCUUUGGAGUCUUGUCUUUAUUUCCAUGUAUCUUUAGAUGCCGAUCUUUAUUUUGGCAUAAUCCUCAAAUCCCUCAAAUUCAGUUAGUAAUACUUAGCUCAACAGUCUUGAAGGUGCUUGAAUCCCCACAGAAGCCGGCGUUUGAGCAGCUUCAGGGCAUUUCUGUGCGGUGCAGACAGUGUACACUGUCUUUGUCCUUUCUGUUCCUCUUGACAAGGCCCAGGUCAGCUUUCUGCCACAAAGCUUAACCACUAGAUAGUUUAUAUCUGCAUGGGCACAAAUUAGUGUAUUUGUAUAUUUGUGUUGCUUUGACCCACACUGAGUCUUUGAAGAUUAAUAAAAAUCGAUUCAGCCUUGAAUCUUUUAGUCUUAAAAGCUUGGAAAAGGUGAGAGUAUGCAGGUUCGCCCUGGCUCACUCUAUUGCUGCUUUUCAUGGCAGCUGUGAUGCAGACUUAGUCUGAGGCCACUCCUUAUCAACCAUGAGGUUACCUUAGACUCCCUUUUGUUUUUUUCUCUACAAUAUUAAGAUUAACUAGGAAUCCCUUUCAAGAUCUUCUGAGCACAGUAUUUAGGAAGAGCCCAUUUUGAGCCCUGUAUGUUAUAUGGUCUUUAGUAGCAACUUGUGUGAAAAGAGAGGGAGGGAUACACAGGUCUGCAGGCUGUCAAGGCCUGUGCUCCAGUGUUGGUGGAGAACUGUAGGUUUCCAAGUGUAUUCUUGCAUUUUUUUUUUUAAAAGCUCAAGCAUGUUUUGGAAAUAAUGAAACUUCACUCCUUCACUCCUACAUCAGCGCUCUCAGACUCUCUUUCCCCUAGGGAGAGAGUGAGGGAGGGAUGGGAGCACCAGGAGCCAGUUGGAGACAUGGUAGGAGACAGCACUGAUGGUGGCCUCACUGCAGCUUGUUCAGGUCCUUCCUCACCACCAAGACGGUUUUGCUUAGAGACUCACCUCUUCAUGCGUAAACCUUGAAGAGAAGUACACCUCAGCGGCCCCGCAGAGGACGGGCUGCCUUCUCUGUCACUUGUAAGUCAGGCUUUGAAAGGCAGUGUCAGCACAGUUACUUAAGUGGCAUGCAUGGAACUGUAGUCUUGGAAGUGAGGUCAGCUUGUCUAGACUGGGAAAGUGAGUGAUCCUUGUUCAGUGUUUUUAAUUUAGAUCUGGGCUACUAGAGUGUUUAAAAACAACAACAACAAAGAAAUUCGGGUAUAACAUUUAAACUUGUGAUUUGUUUUUAAAAACUUGCUGGUGUUUGCUCUUCUUUACGCAGGUCCCUGCCCAUCCCUUGUCUUCAUCAGAGAGUUCAUGUACACACCUGAGAACCAAACCCUGGCCCCUGACAGUGUGUCCCCACCCAGUGGCACCUUGCUUGCCUCUUGAUCCCCCCACCCCCUUCUGUUCUGCUUUCUGUUAGCUGCACCGGCCCAUCCCUCUCCUCCUCCUCCUCUUCCUCCUCCUCCUCUUCCUCCUCCUCUUCUUCCUCCUCCUCCUCUUCCUCCUCCUCCUCCUCUUCUUCCUCCUCCUCCUCUUUUUCCUCCUCCUCCUCUUCCUCCUCCUCUUCUGCAGGCCAGCUGGGAUCCCCUUCUCAUGAACCCUUUUCUCAGGCUCUGUUCAGUGCAGUUGACUCCAGUUUACUGUUCCUGCAGGUGUGGCCCCAGUAUGAUGGCCCGUACCACAGUGUAUUGUCACAGUCUCUUUCAUGCAGUGAGUUAGCUCUCUGGAGUUGGUGCUGGGCCUCCCUCUUCCUGUUUCCUAGAGCCUAGCCUGGCACCAGCAUGUGGUGGUGAGAGAAGGAAUCAGGGUUGGGGGUGGGAGAAACGAUGGGGUGAGGUCCCUCAGGUAAGAGUAAACUUCACAACUCUGUGGAGAAGAGAAGAAUAAAUGCUGUUUUUGUUUAUGCAGGUCUUAAGAUUUUUGUAGCAGAAAGCAAAUGUGCAGAGAGCAAUGGAAAUAAGUCAGAAGCUGCUGUUUGACACAGAGAUGUCACAGUAUAUGUACAUGCGAUUUAUGCUGAAAUCUUCAAUUUAUCCUGAUAGCUCGAGUUGCUCACUUAGUUGAAUAACACCUGGGUUUCGGGCAUGAGGCCUUUGAUCUGCAGACGGCCAUGGAUCCUCUUCAUACUCAGGCCCAUGGUACACUUAGCAGAGCCUGGAACUGUGGUCCUUGGACUCCCCUCAAGCCCUGAACGACACUGUCCAACACUGUCCUGCGUACAGUGUGCUGAUGUGAGGGCUGAGAGGCAGCCAUGCCCGCACCUUUCACUCCCAUGUCUGUGACUAGCAAGCCUAAUGCUCUCCCCUUCGCUGUCUGCCGCUCAGUGCUGCCCACUCCUAAGCAAGGGAGGCAUGGGCCGCUGGCUUCCCUCCUGCACUUUCGUGCUCUGUGGUAGAUUCAGGGUCACAGUGGAAGUCUCUGGCAGCUUGUUAAGACCUUACAUUGAUUAAAAAGUGUCCUUGACUUAAGCCUUCAGCAUCCCUUAGAAAUACUAUAUUUUUCGAAUCUGGGAAACUGGCCUGUGGUGCUGAGCUGGAGGUGCUGGGAGUUAAGCCGGCCUUCUCAGUGCUGUGCAUCACAGACACACUCUAGCACACUCUCAAGGUGUCGCCUGCUCUAUCAGUAUGUACUUAGACAUGUUAAUCUGAAUUAGAGAGCUCAUUGUGCCUAACGGCUCCCCUGGGACGCCAUGUCAGAAAAACACAAAAACUCCAGGAGUGUGCUGAAUAUGCAGAGUAAGAACCGUCUGUAAAAUUAGUGUUAAUUGAGCUUGGACCUUGAUUUUUUUUUAACUUUUAACUUCUAAUUUGAUUUUUUAAAAGUUUUGUGGUCUCUCAGAGUUAUAGUUUAAUAAAAGUUAUACUGUAACAUUGUCAAAAAGAUAUUUACAUAAGGCCCAAUUUUGACUUACCUUAGGGAAAUAGGUCAUGUGUGGGGUAGAGACACAUGUACAUGUACACACUCAUGUGUGUAUAAAAUAUACUUUAGUUGGCCUUUAUUCCCAUGUUCUCUUCUUUCUCUGCCUCUGGAAGUGGGGCACAUUUUCUUCAGUUAAAAACAGAAAUAGAAGCGACGGUCUUGACCCAUUUCACACCUGUUUAUUUCAGGCUCUCAGCACACACUUGUUCAUGGGCGCAGCAAGAAGAGGGGCCCACAGAGCUGGAGCCCUGAGGGCUGACACAUGGGGCGGAAGCCAGCAGAGCGCAUAGGGGGAGCGCGCUGCCCUGCCAGCUCCUGAUUGUCUCAGGACAGUUCUGUUAGUGAGUUAACUGUACUUUAAACCCCAAGUUUACAUGAACUGAAUGUUACUAAGAAUGAAAGAGAUUUGAGUGACCUAUUAAACUUCAUCCAGAGUGACUGUGAAAGAGUACAGCAGCCACUUACCUUGGGGAGUGGCCUGCACCAUGUAUUCCCUGUGCCCCUGUUCCCCCCAGCAAACUUCCCUUUCUUAUUACCACAGCAAUGACCUGUUUAUGUGUUGAUUACUGCCUCCCAAAGAAUGGAAGCUCCGUGAGAGCAGGGCCUGUUGCUGUCUCUGUCGCCAGCAUACAGGCAGCUCCUGUUACAUCAAUAAAUGCUGUUCAGUGAACGAGUGGGC